rnacentral:lncRNA from 1 species
CUUUUUGCAAGGAAGUUAUUAAGCACGAUUUACAUGACAGGAAUGGGGAGAGAAUCUUAAACUUUAAAAACUAUAAACUUUUAAACUAAAAGUAAUGCAGAAAACUGAGAAAAUGUACAUACAGAAAGAAAUGCCUAUCUGCACCAUUUAGUAGCUUACUUUUUUCACCUGUGAAUGUAUUGUGAACAUAUUUUCAUGCCAAUAAAUAUUUCUACAACAUGACGGCAACAGCUGCGGUUAUUCCAUGGGGCUAAUAUCCCAUCAUCCAUUCAGCUGUCCACCGUUGGCUGUGUAAAUAGACUCUCAGAACAGUAAAGCCCAAGGACAUGGGUGUGCAGAGCAACUUGGGAGAAGGCUGUUUGUUGUCAUUAAUUUUUUGAGUCUUCAUAGUGCUAUGAUGCAGAGAAGGUCACCUAUUUUCUAACUCUGUUUUCUUAAUGGGGAAAAAAUAUAGGACAAUAAGAGAUCUCGGUGUCCAGAUGUAUUUCCCCAUCUCCUUUAAGUUUCCAGAAACCUGUGAUGGAAGAAGACAGGUGAAAUGUGCUUGCUUCUACCAGGAAUGUGAGAGUAAACAGCUCAUUCUUGUAACUGGAACUAUGUAGACCUGAAAUAAUUGAUUUUUGCAUUAUGCCCCAUUGGACUUCAGGUCCUACAAUCUUUACCAUCAUGAUCCUCUUAACUGUGAGGAUCAUUGUAACUGUGACCACUGCUAUCUUCACUGAGGUUUCUUUAUGCUCCAGCCUUUUGGUUCCAAGAAGCCAAGAGUUGACUCUGUAGACAAUAGAAAAACAUGGAAUCAUAGAGAAGGAUGAGAGAGAAGAAUGCCCCAUUUGCCUGGUAUCCAUACUGUAAAGGUUCUAAUGCAUCAGUGAGACCCAACCUUUCC